GAUGAACGCUGGCGGCGUGCCUAAUACAUGCAAGUCGAGCGAACAGACGAGGAGCUUGCUCCUCUGACGUUAGCGGCGGACGGGUGAGUAACACGUGGAUAACCUACCUAUAAGACUGGGAUAACUUCGGGAAACCGGAGCUAAUACCGGAUAAUAUAUUGAACCGCAUGGUUCAAUAGUGAAAGACGGUUUUGCUGUCACUUAUAGAUGGAUCCGCGCCGCAUUAGCUAGUUGGUAAGGUAACGGCUUACCAAGGCAACGAUGCGUAGCCGAACUGAUAGGGUGGUCGCCCGCACUACAGCUGAGACACCCUCCAUAUUACUACGAGAGGCAGCAGUAUGGAAUCUUCCGCAAUGGGCGAAAGCCUGACGGAGCAACGCCACGUGAGUUAUGACGCUCUUCGGAUCGUAACACUCUGUUAUUAGGGAUAAACAAAUGUCUACGUAACUGUGCACGUCUUGACGGUACCUAAUCAGAAAGCCACGGCUAACUACGUG
rnacentral:rRNA from 1 species